GACGAACGCUGGCGGCGUGCUUAACACGUGCAAGUCGAACGGAAAGGCCCUGCUUGCAGGGUACUCGAGUGGCGAACGGGUGAGUAACACGUGGGUGAUCUGCCCUGCACUUCGGGAUAAGCCUGGGAAACUGGGUCUAAUACCGGAUAGGAGCCAUUUUUAGUGUGAUGGUUGGAAAGUUUUUUCGGUGUAGGAUGAGCUCGCGGCCUAUCAGCUUGUUGGUGGGGUAAUGGCCUACCAAGGCGGCGACGGGUAGCCGGCCUGAGAGGGUGGACGGCCACAUUGGGACUGAGAUACGGCCCAGACUCCUACGGGAGGCAUCAGUGGGGAAUAUUGCACAAUGGGCGCAAGCCUGAUGCAGCGACGCCGCGUGGGGGAUGACGGCCUUCGGGUUGUAAACUCCUUUCGCUAGGGACGAAGCUUUUUGUGACGGUACCUAGAUAAGAAGCACCGGCUAACUACGUG
rnacentral:rRNA from 1 species